rnacentral:rRNA from 1 species
GACGAACGCUGGCGGCGUGCUUAACACAUGCAAGUCGAACGGUAAGGCCCUUCGGGGUACACGAGUGGCGAACGGGUGAGUAACACGUGGGUGAUCUGCCCUGCACUUCGGGAUAAGCCUGGGAAACUGGGUCUAAUACCGGAUAGGACCAUGGACUUCACGGUUUGUGGUGGAAAGCUUUUGCGGUGUGGGAUGGGCCCGCGGCCUAUCAGCUUGUUGGUGGGGUAAUGGCCUACCAAGGCGACGACGGGUAGCCGGCCUGAGAGGGUGUCCGGCCACACUGGGACUGAGAUACGGCCCAGACUCCUACGGGAGGCAGCAGUGGGGAAUAUUGCACAAUGGGCGC